UACUUAUCAAGAGUGAGUGAGGGAUAAGGCCCGGUGAACUCCAGCAACCUAAUCAAUUGAUUAAGGUGCUUUCCUUAGCAAAGUUUACUUUGAGCGAUGAGGU
rnacentral:ncRNA from 19 species